rnacentral:lncRNA from 1 species
UUUAAUCUGUUCAUCCCUAUAAUUGUUGUACAGUUGCUCUAGGUUCUCUUCUGAGUGUUUUGAUUCUUCUUUUUGUUUGCUUCUAAGUUUCAUGCAUGCCCAUCUACUCAUCUGUUAGGUUUUUCUUGUUAGUGAUUUCUUUUCCACCAUAUGUCUUGGUUUUAAGAUUGGAUGACCUCCUUCUAAAUAGUUUGCUUAAUAUCUAAAUUCAUGAGUGUCCCUGAAUAAGAAUGCUCUGAUUUUUCAUUUCUUCUGUUCCCAAAAUCGAUUGGUAUCCAUGUGCUUCUGAAGGUUGUGAUAAUUGGUUCCAUCUUUGUUGCUGAGUAAUGUAAAGUCCAGAUUGAGAUGUUUUCUUGAAUCUAUGUGUUGCAUUGAUCAAAUCUUAGCGCUUGGUUGUUUGUUUCUACAUAAUUUAGUUUGCAAUUCAGAAUUUGAUCUUGUCCUACAACAUGAAGUAACUAACUAGGGUCAAUUUCUGACCAAAUAGAUAAGAACCAAGGUUUAGAACACUUAGGCCAGUAAUUAGGAAAAGGGACAGGGGUAUUAAGGGCAUUUGAAUAUAGGGAAUCUUGUAACAAAUUCGUGGAACAUUCUAGUGAAGGUCCAAAGUGCAAUUUCUGCCUUAAAACUUGAGACACAAGUUAGAAAAUCAAGGACCAUUUAGGCAAAACUGAAAAAUGGAUAAAAGACCAAAAGAAAACAAAGAGAUUCAUAUUGCCUUAAGGCUUUAAUUAUAAAAGGAACAUCUAAUCAUUUUGAGAGGGGAUAUUUAGAGAGAUUUUUUUUGGAGAGGACUUAGAGGAUCUUCUUCAGGCUUUUUUUGAGAGAGUUAGAAUACAACUUUUAGAUAUAAGUACACAUUAUACUUUCAUACAUUAUUCAGAAAAUCCUUUUAAAGUUGUUUCUUCUUAUUGAACCAUCU